CGGUGACAAAGCCGGGUGGCACAGAAUAGCUCUGUGGAAUAGCUGGGAGGGGCAAUUAAUCCAGGCGGGUGAUCAGAGAAAGCUUCCUGGAAGAGGUGCCGUCUAAGCAAAAACCUCGGUAGGCAUACUUUAUGAGUUAACCAGGCGAAGACGGGAAAGAUGAGUUUCCCCAGCAGAGGGAAUAUAACUGCAAAAGCCCAGAGACGUGCAGAGUGGCUCAGCAAGCCUGCGGUGCAGCAGAGAUAGCCUGUGGGAGGAGAAGGAGGGUGCCAAGAGAGGUCUGCCAUCAGGCCCUGCAGGGCCUGGUCCAGGAGAGCAGCGGAGAGCCGCGGAAGGAUGUCAGCUAAGAGCACUGAGAUGAGAGAUACACUUUAGAAGGGUUUCUCUGCUGCAGAACGGAGAAUAAAUUAGAGGGUCCCCGCGUGCAGGAGCCAAGCUGAGGCCUGGAAACCGGCUGGCAGGCUGUUACAGGGUGGCCAGAGGCGCCGGUGGUCUGCGAGAAGGUCUGUUCCUGGCUGUCCCUUCAGUGAUCUGAGCUCCCUUCUUGGCAUCUGUGGGAAUGAGAUCCUGAACAGCCCAGUAGGAUGCUGCUAAGUGGCACGGCAGAGUUGGCCUCUGAAGCCACAGAAACUUCACUCUGAAUUCCACCCCGUCUGCCUGCCCAAGUCAUGGAAGCUCUCCACACCUCGGUUCCUUCACCUGUAAAAUGGUUUGUGGAGAUGCGGGAUUAGUACCUAUCUAGAUUUCAGCUCAAGACAAGCCCACAGGAUGACAGCUGAUGUCCCCAGAGCUCAUCUCUUCUCUCCCACUGCCUUGUCUGUCCAGGUCUUCAGUCUGAGACCAAGAACAGGUCACUCAUUCAGUCCUGAUGUCCCCUAGUCCUGGCAUCAACUAGCUGGACCCAGGUACCAGCCUCCCUUGCCCGCCCCUCUGCAUGCCCGCGGGCCUCCUCUGCCAGGGCAGCAGCCUGCCACAGCCGGCCCGAGCAGGACGGGGUUGGGAACAUCUCCAGCCCCUGGCAGGGCCCAGUGUCAGUUUCAGGCCCUUCUGGGGUAGAAGGAGGUGUGGGGUGGGGCUGCCAAAGUCAACACAGCCCGUCUCCACAGGCGGGGCCUGGUUUGGCACCUGUGGACCUCGUUCCCAGCCCACAUGCCCGGGUCCUGGCCUCUCCUGGGGUCGGCUGGGGUUUCUCUCCCCCCAGUUCUCAGAGUACAAAGCUUCUCCGUCUCCAUCAUGCAGUCUGCUCAUCGCUCUCCAGGACCACGGACCUGCCAGCCGCUCCCUUCCCCAAACCCCAGACAAGCCCCUGGAGUAUUUGUCCUCUGCACAUACACCUAAGACAGAAACUACCCACCCCCCACGAUUCACGGCCACAUUAGCGUGACUUUACCAUUCCAGCUAAAAGCCCUGACUGUUCACUAUAGGAACUUCCAGAAAGCCCUGCGAAGUCUGCAGCAGUUUGCUCCCUAAAAUUUUCACCUAAAAUGCUCAGCUUGCUCUUUCCACGAAUCCUUGACUUGCACAGUGAUCCUCACCCCAUUACGUCAAGGCCCCUCACUGUGAAAGUCCCAUCUGGAACCAAAUUUCCAGCUCCCCAUCCAUUCCGACCUUGCCCACCCUGACCCAGGGGCUGCCCAACCUUAUCCACACGGCAGCUCUUCACUGAGGGGAACGGCAAACGGGGCUUGUUACCGGGAGGUCGUGCUGGUGAUGUUUGGGGAGUGGGCAUUCGACACUUUCUACUCAUCUUCUCCCCAAAAUGAGCCGCUCUGGUCUCUGCAGGUGCAGCCCCAAUGAGACCCCAAACCUGGCCACCACCCCUGAACAGCAUGUGUUUUCUCAAUUCCUCGGGCCAAGCCCAGCUCCCCGCCCUACAGCAGCCACUGCCUGCCUAGGCCAGGCCCACCCAGGUCUCCUCACCUGUGGACAGAAGGGAUGGGAUGGUGGGAAGGGAGUGGAUUUAACUAACAAAUGGGUGAGGGUUGCAAUUGGGGGUGGGCAGAACCCCACCCCUCCAGACUCUCUCCCUCAAAUGAACGGGAAGGGGGCAACCCUCCCCCCCAUCCAACAGCCUGAUUUGUUUUGCAAAAUUUGAGGGUGUUCUACACCCAGGCCCCAGGGAAGACGCAAGAGCAGGUGGAGACAAGGCCACUCCACACCCGGCUCCCCCCUCCCCACAGUGUGCGUCCCUUCUUCACUCUACUUCCAAAUCUUCUCCAGGUCUCCUAGCCCCCAGACACUCUGCACCCCAAACCCCUAAGCCCUUCCCCUGGGACCUGUGUGCUCAGGUAAGAGAACCUGGCAAUGAGCAGCCAGCCCUUCCCCCAAACAGACGGGGCAGCAAACACCCGAGGCCUGCCCUCCCGGGGACCACAACAGCUGCAUUUUGAGCCUGAGGCUGGAGCAAUUCAGAAAGAAGCCCCGCCUCGCUCAGGGCCCAGACGUGCCCCCGGGGUGGGGGUGGGGGGGGCAGCGGGAAGUUGCCAGUGCCCUUUGCCCACAAGGGGCAGGCUCAGCGGGAGCCACCCGCCGCCUCACCCAGCACUGCCCGCCCUCCCCGGGCAGGGCCCUCCUUCCUCCCCCCCAGGGCUCCCUCCCAGGCCGGCCGGGUCCCAGGGCUGCUGCACAAAGAGCCCUUUGUCUGGCUGGAAACAAUGCCUCUCCCCUGUAUGGCAACACGGCUGUGUCUCAUAAUCAAGCUUUCAGAGGCUGGAUCAAAGGGCACUCCAGCAGAGUUGUGCUCGGAGCUGCUGACAACCUGUCAUCCACCCUUAAUCCUCACCUGUCCCCAGCCCACUGAGAGCACCUUUCUCCCCGGGGCAGGGCCUGUGUGCACCCUGGAGCGGAAGGGAGCUGGGGGGGACCAAGGAGGGCAGGGUGGGUCUCUCCCGCUGGCACCUUGGGCUCAGGUUACAGCCCCUGCCAGCAGAGCACUGGGUGUGGACGUGCAAAGAGGCACUACCUGGGGAGAAGGAGAGGGUGGUGCCUGGUUUGGCCCGGGGCCACCCCCAUCUCCCAGAUCCCCUCUCAGGCGGGCGGGCGGGUGUGGGCAACCCCUCAGACCCGCCAGAGCCUCUCGUCCCCAUCUGCUUGGGCGCUGGCAGACCCUUCGUAUCUCUGUUUUGGAAUCCAACAAAGACAAGCUCUAGACCGCUUGGAGAUUAAAACCAGCCCCUCCCUCGAGGCUGGAGCCCCCUCUCUGGGGCCAGCGCUGCAGUCAGAGCAGAAAAUCACAUGAUCGCUGCUGGAAGAGGCGUUGGGCCAGUUCCUCCCGGAUCACACGCGAGUUCUGCGCAGCUACCCCAUCGUUCCUGGGAGAUCAUAGAUUUUCUUGGUAUUUCAAAAUAAUGUAAGCAUCACUGAUCUGGCCCGGUCUACAUCAUUUUACAGAUGGGGAAACUGAGGCUCAGGGAGGGGAACUCACCCAGCGGGCUUCGUGGUACAGCUGAGGCCACAAGUUAUGGCAUCACGACCAUGAUGUGGGUCCCUGCCUUUCCUCCAGAAGAGCCCUCCCAGCAGCCCCACCUCAGGGGUUUGUGACCUUUUACAAGGUCAAGGUUAAUUCAAACGUCUGGGAGACACAUGGUCAAGCAGAGAUGGACCAGAUAAGAGCUGACCGAGGAGGCUAUGAAUAAACACAUGGGUUCAACCUGCAGGGUGCAGGGCACUGAGAUAGCAACAGGCUGCCUCCACGAUGCACGACACACGUGCAGACCUGUGCUCGCGAGGAGGGGGCCCAGAGGAGCCUCGUGCCACCCCCGCCAGGCUGGCUGUGGGCAGAAGUUCAGGACCUCCGCUCCAGGACCAGGGGACUCGUUGAGCGUUCUGGGUGAGCCCCAGCUGAGGUACGAGAGGGACCUCACAGGUAGGUCAAGGACCACAGACCACGUGUGACCUGGGCCCUGGUGUGUGGCCUGGGCUCUGUGGAGACAGGCAGGAGGAAGGGGUCCCGUCCCAGAGACAGGACUCACGGCCCCACCUGCUCCUCACACAGCAGCCAGACCCUCCAGCCGCCCCUCCCACUCGGAGUCAGAGCUGACGUCCUCCAGGGCCCCAGAGAUCUGCCUGCGCCCCAGACCCCCUCCUGGCCCCUGGUGUCCUCUUCGUUCCGCUUGCAAUCCUGCUCCUUGGCCCCUGGCCCCACAGCCGCUCUGCCUGAGUCUCUCCCCACGACAGGCCCCGCUCAGGUCUCAGACCUCAGGCCUCUGCUCAGCCAUUCCCUUAACCCAGAGACCACCUGGGCGAGCCCACCCAGGAGCCAGCCUUGCCCCGGCUCCAUCCCCAGCCCUUCCCCCUGCUUUGUUUUCCUUCAGGGAACCGAUCAGCCCCUGACAUAAUUAUUUGACUUACUGUUGAUUAUAUUUUUUAUUUUAUGUAUAUAAUCUAUUAUAUGGUGUAAUAUAGCUUAGUACAAAAAUAUUUCAUAUAUCAUUUAUAUAUUUUUUAAAUAGAAUUAUCAUAAAUGAUUUUGUUAAUUACAUUUUCAUUACUAUCUAUAA
rnacentral:lncRNA from 1 species